rnacentral:rRNA from 1 species
UACGGGGGGGGUAAGCGUUGUUCGGAAUUACUGGGCGUAAAGGGCUCGUAGGCGGCCAACUAAGUCAUACGUGAAAUCCCUCAGCUUAACUGGGGAACUGCGUCUGAUACUGGAUGGCUUGGAUUCGGGAGAGGAAUGCGGAAUUCCAGGUGUAGCGGUGAAUGCGUAGAUAUUCGGAGGAACACCAGUGGCGAAGGCGGCUCACUGGUCCAUUACUGACGCUGAGGUGCGAAAGCGUGGGGAGCAAACAGG